AGCAGCCGCGGUAAUUCCAGCUCCAAUAGCGUAUAUUAAAGUUGUUGCAGUUAAAAAGCUCGUAGUUGAACUUCAGGCCUGGCUGGAUGGUCCGCCUUCUGGGUGAGUACUGUCUGUGGUCGGGUCCUACCUUCUGGCGAAGCGUCAUGGCCUUCACCGGCCGUGGCGGGGAGCCAGGACUUUUACUGUGAAAAAUUAGAGUGUUCAAAGCAGGCACGCGCUUGAAUACAUUAGCAUGGAAUAAUGGAAUAGGACAGUGGUUCUAUUUGUCGGUUUCUAGGACCGUUGUAAUGAUUAAUAGGGAUAGUUGGGGGCAUUAGUAUUCAAUUGUCAGAGGUGAAAUUCUUGGAUUUAUUGAAGACUAACUACUGCGAAAGCAUUUGCCAAAGAUGUUUUCAUUAAUCAAGAACGAAAGUUAGGGGAUCGAAGACGAUCAGAUACCGUCGUAGUCUUAACCAUAAACUAUGCCGACUAGGAAUCGGGCGAUGUUGACAAAAUGACGCGCUC
rnacentral:rRNA from 1 species